rnacentral:rRNA from 1 species
AUGCAAGUCGAGGGGUAUAGUUCUUCGGAAUUAGAGACCGGCGCACGGGUGCGUAACGCGUAUGCAAUCUACCUUUCACAGAGGGAUAGCCCAGAGAAAUUUGGAUUAAUACCUCAUAGUAUAAUUGAAUGGCAUCAUUUAAUUAUUAAAGAUUUAUCGGUGAAAGAUGAGCAUGCGUCCCAUUAGCUAGUUGGUAUGGUAACGGCAUACCAAGGCUACGAUGGGUAGGGGUCCUGAGAGGGAGAUCCCCCACACUGGUACUGAGACACGGACCAGACUCCUACGGGAGGCAGCAGUGAGGAAUAUUGGACAAUGGGCGCAAGCCUGAUCCAGCCAUGCCGCGUGCAGGAUGACGGUCCUAUGGAUUGUAAACUGCUUUUAUACGAGAAGAAACACUCCUUCGUGAAGGAGCUUGACGGUAUCGUAAGAAUAAGGAUCGGCUAACUCCGUGCCAGCAGCCGCGGUAAUACGGAGGAUCCAAGCGUUAUCCGGAAUCAUUGGGUUUAAAGGGUCCGUAGGCGGUUUAGUAAGUCAGUGGUGAAAGCCCAUCGCUCAACGGUGGAACGGCCAUUGAUACUGCUAGACUUGAAUUAUUAGGAAGUAACUAGAAUAUGUAGUGUAGCGGUGAAAUGCUUAGAGAUUACAUGGAAUACCAAUUGCGAAGGCAGGUUACUACUAAUAUAUUGACGCUGAUGGACGAAAGCGUGGGUAGCGAACAGGAUUAGAUACCCUGGUAGUCCACGCCGUAAACGAUGGAUACUAGCUGUUGGGAGCAAUCUCAGUGGCUAAGCGAAAGUGAUAAGUAUCCCACCUGGGGAGUACGAACGCAAGUUUGAAACUCAAAGGAAUUGACGGGGGCCCGCACAAGCGGUGGAGCAUGUGGUUUAAUUCGAUGAUACGCGAGGAACCUUACCAAGGCUUAAAUGUAGAUUGACCGGUUUGGAAACAGACUUUUCGCAAGACAAUUUACAAGGUGCUGCAUGGUUGUCGUCAGCUCGUGCCGUGAGGUGUCAGGUUAAGUCCUAUAACGAGCGCAACCCCUGUUGUUAGUUGCCAGCGAGUCAUGUCGGGAACUCUAACG